UCAGCUUCCCAAAUGGAUCAGUACAACCAAAACCCUUCUGGAAAAUUCUCGUGUUCGAACAAAGCACACUGUCAAUUCCUACACGUUGAACGCCCCGUCUUCAUCUUUAUCGGAAUCUCAGCUCCAUCUCCGUGCACACAAACCAACACGCGACCAAACGGAGGAUUCAAAGAAUCGAUCUCAACCUCCAUCGGCGAAACAAAUAAAAACAUAUUGCAUGGAAAUUAAUGGCGAAACUCGAUCGCCAUCGAUGUCGAGUUCAUCUUGUUCGAUUGUACACGAAAUGGAAAGCACGAGGGGAGAAGAAGGAAACCUACCAGCUCGAUGCGGUGGCCCUGGGUGUUUAUUUCGAUCCUUUCUUCCUAGAUGCGUGUGUGUCAUUAUUCGAUUCGUUGUUGCCUCCUCCGAUUGAUGAAGACGAAUGUUGCGAUUAUGGAAGAUGAGUGAUGCGUCGUGCUUGAUGAAGAUGAGCUACGUGACAAUGAUCCUAGGAUUUGAAAUGACGUGAAGAACGAAAGGCGAAGGCGACCAGAUUCACGAAAGGUGAGAUCAAGGUUCUCUCUUCCUUUCCUCCACGCUUUUUAUGUUCCCGUUCUCCUCUUCUUCAAUUCAAUUCUGUGAGAUUGUGGGGUUCCGAUGGGAUUUGAAGGAAGUUCUCGGAUUUUCUUUUAUGGGUUGGUUUCGAAUUCCUAUUAAAGGUUUUGUUGCAGGGUUUUUGGGUUCGUGAGGAGGGUUUCGUUUGAGAGACAGGAAUGAAAGCUAUGAAGGUUGAGGUUGCAGAGUCAGUUAGAGGGUGUGAUGUUAUGGUUGUUAGAACGGUUUGUUACAGCAGGUUGAAGAAGAAGAUAUUUAGGUUAGAGGAGUUUAGAGAAGGUUGAGAGUAUGAAGGUUGAUGAAGGGUUAGAAUGGAAGGUGAUGGAGGAUGAAGUUGUGAAUUGUUAAAUGAUAGUGAAGAUGAUGGAGAAUCGAAUUGGAGCUUGGUUCAGGGUGAAGAAGAGAUGGAAGAAAACAUGAGAGUGAAGGUGGCGAGAAGUGAAGGAGAAGGAAGUGGAAAAAAGGGCCUGUUGAAGAAGAUAGGGAUCUCUUGGAUGGUUAUCCUUUGAUUCCAUUAUCGUGAUGCCCUCUUCGAAGCUACAAUGGAGGUGAAUUUCCUCGUACACUGUCUUCAUUACCAGGAUUUGAUUAAUGAAGUUGCCCCACAGUGAUUCUAUGUAGUGCGGUGUUACGGCGAACUGUUGCACAAUUAGAGUCAGUCGCUUCGAGCAACAUUGUAUGGUCGACUCAGUAAAGGUCACAUUGGAAUAAGAUUGGAGCUAGGAUACAACGCAUCAGUUUUAGAUUGAAACGCAAUGCGGUUCGAGAUGCUUGGAUUACUGGUUUGAAUAUGUGGGCCACAGUUGGUGAAGUGUGUCCUUUGGUCUUGGCCAUUUAUAGGUGUGGGUUUGGUUGGCUUUAGUUAGUUAGAGUUGUUUUCUAAUUUAAACAAAAUGAACAUUAACAGUGGAAGGAAAAUUCAAGGGACUGCAAAUGCAAUUACACUAUUGUUGUGCUUAUUAAUGGAAAUUCAGUGGGUUAGCUUGGAAUGUAUUAAUUGUUAUGUUACUUUGAAAUGAUGUAUGGUUGUAAUUGAAUUGAAAUGGAGAACGAAAUGCAUGUGAGAAUUGAUCCA